GAUGAACGCUGGCGGCGUGCCUAAUACAUGCAAGUCGAACGCUUCACUUCGGUGAAGAGUGGCGAACGGGUGAGUAAUACCUAAGUAACCUGGCAUCUACAGGGGGAUAACUGAUGGAAACGUCAGCUAAGACCGCAUAGGUGUAGAGAUCGCAUGAACUCUAUAUGAAAAGUGCUACGGGACUGGUAGAUGAUGGACUUAUGGCGCAUUAGCUUGUUGGUAGGGUAACGGCCUACCAAGGCGACGAUGCGUAGCCGACCUGAGAGGGUGACCGGCCACACUGGGACUGAGACACGGCCCAGACUCCUACGGGAGGCAGCAGUAGGGAAUUUUCGGCAAUGGGGGGAACCCUGACCGAGCAACGCCGCGUGAAGGAAGAAGUAAUUCGUUAUGUAAACUUCUGUCAUAGAGGAAGAACGGUGGAUAUAGGGAAUGAUAUCCAAGUGACGGUACUCUAUAAGAAAGCCACGGCUAACUACGUG
rnacentral:rRNA from 1 species